rnacentral:lncRNA from 10 species
CGGCUGUCGGUUCUGUUUGUUGCUGUCACUGCUGUUUGUUCUUGCCAGCGGCUAGGUGUGUAGUUGCUUGGGGCUCCUAGCACGAGGCCUCUGUCCCCAGGCACGCAGCGCCAGUCUCCGGCUGUUGCGCCCUGGGCGCCGCCUCUCUCCGGCCCCCCUUUGUUUCCUGAGCCAGCUGGGAAGACUAAAAGGCCACCAUCCUGUGAGGAAGCCCAGAGCACAUGAAGAGACCACCUGCACAUGUUCAGAUCCACUGCCCCAGCUAAGAUCUCCGCUGACAGCCAGACCAAUCACCAAUCUUAGGAGCUGGCGAGCCUUCAGAUGGUCCAACCUUUGAGGCCCCCCAGAGGAGCCAGGUGGAGCAUAGAUGAGCCAUCCAUGUGGAUCCCUCCACCAAAUGGAAGAUUUAGGAGCAAAAUAAACAAUGUUGUCAUUGCUUUC